rnacentral:SRP_RNA from 1 species
GCCAGGCGCGGUGGCUCACGCCUGUAAUCCCAGCACUGUGGGAGGCCGAGGCGGGUGGAUCACCUGAGGUCAGGAGUUUGAGACCAACCUGGCCAACAUGGUGAGACCUUGUCUCUU